rnacentral:rRNA from 1 species
AAAUUGAAGAGUUUGAUCAUGGCUCAGAUUGAACGCUGGCGGCAGGCCUAACACAUGCAAGUCGAACGGUAACAGGAAGCAGCUUGCUGCUUUGCUGACGAGUGGCGGACGGGUGAGUAAUGUCUGGGAAACUGCCUGAUGGAGGGGGAUAACUACUGGAAACGGUGGCUAAUACCGCAUAACGUCGCAAGACCAAAGAGGGGGACCUUCGGGCCUCUUGCCAUCAGAUGUGCCCAGAUGGGAUUAGCUAGUUGGUGAGGUAACGGCUCACCAAGGCGACGAUCCCUAGCUGGUCUGAGAGGAUGACCAGCCACACUGGAACUGAGACACGGUCCAGACUCCUACGGGAGGCAGCAGUGGGGAAUAUUGCACAAUGGGCGCAAGCCUGAUGCAGCCAUGCCGCGUGUAUGAAGAAGGCCUUAGGGUUGUAAAGUACUUUCAGCGGGGAGGAAGGUGUUGCGGUUAAUAACCGCAGCAAUUGACGUUACCCGCAGAAGAAGCACCGGCUAACUCCGUGCCAGCAGCCGCGGUAAUACGGAGGGUGCAAGCGUUAAUCGGAAUUACUGGGCGUAAAGCGCACGCAGGCGGUCUGUCAAGUCGGAUGUGAAAUCCCCGGGCUCAACCUGGGAACUGCAUUCGAAACUGGCAGGCUUGAGUCUUGUAGAGGGGGGUAGAAUUCCAGGUGUAGCGGUGAAAUGCGUAGAGAUCUGGAGGAAUACCGGUGGCGAAGGCGGCCCCCUGGACAAAGACUGACGCUCAGGUGCGAAAGCGUGGGGAGCAAACAGGAUUAGAUACCCUGGUAGUCCACGCCGUAAACGAUGUCUACUUGGAGGUUGUGCCCUUGAGGCGUGGCUUCCGGAGCUAACGCGUUAAGUAGACCGCCUGGGGAGUACGGCCGCAAGGUUAAAACUCAAAUGAAUUGACGGGGGCCCGCACAAGCGGUGGAGCAUGUGGUUUAAUUCGAUGCAACGCGAAGAACCUUACCUGGUCUUGACAUCC